GGGCGCGUGGCGGAAUGGCAGACGCGUACGGCUUAGGACCGUAUGGUGAAAAUCGUGGAGGUUCAACUCCUCUCGCGCCCA
rnacentral:tRNA from 1 species